GGCGGAAGGGUGCGUAACGCGUGGGUAAUUUGCCGUGAAGUUGGGGAUAACUCGCUGAAAGGCGAGCUAAUACCGAAUGUGAUCCGACGGGGGCAUCCCUGUUUGAUUGAAGCUGGGGACCGUAAGGCCUGGCGCUUCACGAUAAGCCCGCGACCUAUCAGCUAGUUGGUGAGGUAACGGCUCACCAAGGCUAAGACGGGUAGCUGGUCUGAGAGGACGACCAGCCACGCUGGAACUGAGACACGGUCCAGACACCUACGGGUGGCAGCAGUCGAGAAUUUUUCUCAAUGGACGAAAGUCUGAAGGAGCGACGCCGCGUGGGGGAUGAAGGGCUUCGGUCCGUAAACCCCUGUCAUUUGCGAACAAACCUUGCGUUUGAACAGAACGCGAGCUGAUUGUAGCGAAAGAGGAAGGGACGGCUAGCUCUGUGCCAGCAGCCGCGGUAAUACAGAGGUCCCAAGCGUUGUUCGGAUUCACUGGGCGUAAAGGGUGCGUAGGCGGUGGGGUAAGUCUGGUGUGAAAGCUCGGAGCUCAACUCCGAAAUGUCAUCGGAAACUACUUCACUUGAGGUUUGGAGGGGGGACUGGAAUUCUCGGUGUAGCAGUGAAAUGCGUAGAUAUCGAGAGGAACACCAGUGGCGAAGGCGAGUCCCUGGACAAAUCCUGACGCUGAGGCACGAAAGCUAGGGGAGCAAACAGGAUUAGAUACCCUGGUAGUCCUAGCUGUAAACGGUGCACGUUUGCUGUGAGCGGAUUCGACCCCGUUCGUGGCGUAGCUAACGCGAUAAACGUGCCGCCUGGGGAGUACGGUCGCAAGAUUAAAACUCAAAGAAAUUGACGGGGGCCUGCACAAGCGGUGGAGUAUGUGGCUUAAUUCGAUGCAACGCGAAGAACCUUACCUGGUCUUGACAUGCUAGUAGUAGGAGCCUGAAAGGGUGACGAGGUAGCAAUACCAGCUAGCACAGGUGCUGCAUGCUGUCGUCAGCUCGUGUCGUGAGAUGGUUUGGGUUAGUCCGCACGAGCGCACCCCUGUGUCUGUGCCACCCCUAUGGGAGCACUCUGACAGA
rnacentral:rRNA from 1 species